rnacentral:tRNA from 2 species
GCUGGAGUAGCUCAGCCCGGUAGAGCAGCCGCCUUGUAAGCGGCCGGUCGCAGGUUCGAAUCCUGUCUCCAGCU